UUGCAAAGCCUGCACAGUUAACUUACUUUGAUACAUGCUGCCUCAGCUGCCUUCAGAACAUGCAAGACUGCUUGAAUUAGGUUCUGUGCGUUGUUCACGAGGAGCUCCAAAGAGGACUUGCUCUCUGCAGUAACUGCUUUUACCCUUCAAAGACAUUUUUAAAGGCUUUUACUGGAAGGACAUCAGACAGUGUGGGCAGAAACAGAAGACUGUACCCUGUGCUGUCAGAGCAGGCAAACUUGAAGAGGAGCAACAGGAAGAGCUCUCUACAACCACCUGAAGGGAGGUUGUGGCAAAAGGGCCUCUGGUAAAGGAGGUGCUGGGAGGACCACUCUGGUUCUGUCAAGACAAGAAUUGAAGAGAUUGAGGAAGAUUCAUGAAGCAUGCUGAUACCAGUGCUGAGAAACCUACAGCUCCAUGUUUCUGAAGCAGUUUUUGUGCAGAAUAUCCACUGGACAGGGGGGUCCUCCGAGAAGUCUGAGCUUCAGCUCUGCGUCCUGCAUUGAAGUAGUUCUGUGGAAACUCAGAGAGUAACCUAAGUAGCCAAAAACAAAAUAAAAAAGGCCUUCAGAUUGGAAUGAAUUCUCUCGUUCUGGCGAGAUCUUUAUACACGGCAGUUAACACAGGCGUGGGUAAGUGCCUUCAAUGUGGACUUUUAAGGACUGAUCCAGACCAAGAACUGGUGUUAGCUGUGUGCUGCUCAUGGAUGUCUAAUGAAGUGCUGGAACUGGAUCUUGCUCACAUUUCCUAUUUUAUGCAUGCCCAUCCCAGUGAUAGCUGACUUCCUAAUGGGGAUGUGCAUUUUUUCAGAUGACCAUAAAUGAAUCUACCUUUCAAAGUUACUUCUGUAACUGAGGGUUCCAGGUGCUUCCAUGGCAGCACAACUGUACAAGUUCCACCCUCUUCCAUGCUAUCCCCUUGUGAAGGUGCAAAAGCCAACUCACUCCAGCUCUGUUUAAAGAAGCUGCAGGACUCCUAAGCCUUCACAUUGCCUCAUACCCAACACAGAUCAUGGCUGUUACUUCCAAAAUGCUGAACAGCUCAAGGAAAGCUGCAAUAGGCUAUCUACAU